UACGGGGGGGGCAAGCGUUGUUCGGAAUUACUGGGCGUAAAGGGCUCGUAGGCGGCCAACUAAGUCGGACGUGAAAUCCCCAGACUCAACCUGGGAACUGCGUCCGAUACUGGAUGGCUUGAAUCCGGGAGAGGGAUGCAGAAUUCCAGGUGUAGCGGUGAAAUGCGUAGAUAUCAGGAGGAACACCGAUGGCGAAGGCAGGUCUCUGGGCCACUACUGACGCUGAGAAGCGAAAGCAUGGGGAGCGAACAGG
rnacentral:rRNA from 1 species